rnacentral:rRNA from 1 species
UACAGAGGUCUCAAGCGUUUGUUCGGAUUCAUUGGGCGUAAAGGGUGCGUAGGUGGCGCCGUAAGUCAGGUGUGAAAUUUCGGAGCUUAACUCCGAAACUGCAUUUGAUACUGCGGUGCUUUGAGGACUGGAGAGGAGACUGGAAUUUACGGUGUAGCAGUGAAAUGCGUAGAGAUCGUAAGGAAGACCAGUGGCGAAGGCGGGUCUCUGGACAGUUCCUGACCAGCUGAGGCACGAAGGCCAGGGGAGCAAACGGG